UACGUAGGGCGCAAGCGUUGUCCGGAAUUAUUGGGCGUAAAGAGCUCGUAGGCGGCUUGUCGCGUCGGACGUGAAAGCUCAGGGCUUAACCCUGAGUCUGCGUUCGAUACGGGCAGGCUAGAGACAGGUAGGGGAAAACGGAAUUCCCGGUGUAGCGGUGAAAUGCGCAGAUAUCGGGAGGAACACCGGUGGCGAAGGCGGUUCUCUGGGCCUGUACUGACGCUGAGGAGCGAAAGCGUGGGGAGCGAACAGG
rnacentral:rRNA from 1 species